ACUUUCAGCGGGGAGGAAGGUGUUGUGGUUAAUAACCGCAGCAAUUGACGUUACCCGCAGAAGAAGCACCGGCUAACUCCGUGCCAGCAGCCGCGGUAAUACGGAGGGUGCAAGCGUUAAUCGGAAUUACUGGGCGUAAAGCGCACGCAGGCGGUCUGUCAAGUCGGAUGUGAAAUCCCCGGGCUCAACCUGGGAACUGCAUUCGAAACUGGCAGGCUAGAGUCUUGUAGAGGGGGGUAGAAUUCCAGGUGUAGCGGUGAAAUGCGUAGAGAUCUGGAGGAAUACCGGUG
rnacentral:rRNA from 1 species